ACGCUCGACACCUACGGGGGGCAGCAGUGGGGAAUAUUGCACAAUGGGGGAAACCCUGAUGCAGCGACGCCGCGUGAAGGAAGAAGUAUUUCGGUAUGUAAACUUCUAUCAGCAGGGAAGAAAAUGACGGUACCUGACUAAGAAGCCCCGGCUAACUACGUGCCAACAGCCGCGGUAAUCUGAGCGGGCUGGCAAGGC
rnacentral:rRNA from 1 species